UUGGUGCCUUCGGGAACUCUGAGACAGGUGCUGCAUGGCUGUCGUCAGCUCGUGUUGUGAAAUGUUGGGUUAAGUCCCGCAACGAGCGCAACCCUUAUCCUUUGUUGCCAGCGAUUCGGUCGGGAACUCAAAGGAGACUGCCAGUGAUAAACUGGAGGAAGGUGGGGAUGACGUCAAGUCAUCAUGGCCCUUACGAGUAGGGCUACACACGUGCUACAAUGGCAUAUACAAAGAGAAGCGACCUCGCGAGAGCAAGCGGACCUCAUAAAGUAUGUCGUAGUCCGGAUUGGAGUCUGCAACUCGACUCCAUGAAGUCGGAAUCGCUAGUAAUCGUGGAUCAGAAUGCCACGGUGAAUACGUUCCCGGGUCUUGUACAC
rnacentral:rRNA from 1 species